GUUUUUCUCGCACUCUCUGUAUGUGCGUCUGCCAUGUGGUUGAUCUUCCCUCUCUCUGGCCCCUGCAGUAUACGCGCUAUAUGUGAGGAAGGAGCAGAAGAAGCAGCUGCGGCGCACCUCGAGCUUCUGCAUCCACUCAGACGCACUUCUCCCUCACACCAGGAACUGAGCAUCAGUGACCCUGAGGCCUACAAAGACUGGCUUUGUGGACUUCCCCAAACCAUUCACCCACAGUGAGAUGCUCAUCUACAAAGUUCAUCUUGUGCUGCUAGGCGCAGCUGCGGCGAUAGGUGAACCCCGGCUUCGUCAGACGGACGACACGUCGGCAAACGCUCGAUGAAGAGCCUCUCCCGUUUGAUGAUAUUCCAGAUCAGACCAGGUAUUUGAACGGAGCUGUGCCACACAUCCAGGGCUGUCUAUUAUGGCCUUUACUCAUUUAAAUCCCAUUCUCCUGUUGUUGGAUUGACAUGGAGCCUUUCUUUUAUCAUUUUUUUGGAUGCGGUUGGAAAUACUAUCAAGCUGCAUGAGGAGACGUUUGUGAUCAUCACUUUCACUACUGGAGCAGAUGGUUGCUUUCAAGGACCCCCUACCUCAGUGUUCUUCACAUCUCUCCUCAUCUUUUCCACCGAGCGGAGUGGCUCAGUUAAGCAAAGUGAGUUUCACGGUUAUUACGGCUUUUUUCUUGACUGUAUAAGCUGCACUGACAUCUGUGCUUGAAACACAGUUGUGUACAAAUAGCUGAAAGAUAAGGAACAUUCCAGUUGCUGGCUGCUCUCACUGUCCAGUCAGAAGUUUUCAGCCACUUCAGAUUCCAUGGUGUGAUCAUCUUCUGACACAGUUGUCUUUCUUCAGUGGGCUUUUCUUGAUAACAGUGUAUUUAUUGAUUCGUCAGCCUGGUCUUCCGUCUCACGCACACUUCACAUGCUGCACACUCAUCAAGUAUUGUGUACACACACUCAUUACUCCGGAGUUAGUAAUAUCCUUAGUCAUCAUAGCGACAAUCAACUUCUGUGUUUUUUUGGGGCACAGAGGUCCAUUGAUUUACUUUUAGAACAGCACGGAUGUCAGGGGCACGGCGCGUGACCUUGUGUUGCUCAUCAGCCUUGUACUGUGUAAAGUAUUGUUGAGCACAUCUUGUCAUAUGUUUUGUAGUUUCACCAGUUGUCAUGAAUGUGUAGCGGAGUCACACCAGACAGACCCUGACUCAGAGGCCGGUCCACCCACCACCCGGUUCCUUCUAACUCCCCACCCUGUCUGCCUCUUAGUCAUACUGUGAGCCCUUAAGAAAGGUCGUAGUGUGAUACUGGAGGGGUUUACACAAAUGUAUAUAUGUAUUAAAAUCGCCUUUUAUAUAAAUGUAUUGACCUGCAGCACCCUUUUUUUUUUAAGUUGAAGACAUAUUUUGCUUCGAUGAUAAUUGAUUUUAGUGAUGAUAAAAGUCGACUACUAAAACUCACACAGACACAAGCUACACACAACCACUGAUAGAAAUUAUUAGAAAUAUUGAGUAUAUCAUAUGUGUCUUGUAAGAUAUUUACAAUGUGUUACGGGACAUUUAAAUAAAUAUUCAUUCAUAAGUUACGACUCAUAUAAAAGGAAAAACCAAGCUGUGUAAACACCACCUGUCGACCUUUGCAUUAGCUCUUAAAUUAUAGGUUCGUAAGCUUUAUGUUUAUAAAGAAGAGUGAGAAUAUUGAAAUUGCUUUUGAACAUCUGAAUCUUGUUCUAUUACAAACUUUUCUUUACGUCAUUAUAAGUACAGUCGCCUGGUAAAUGAGAGCCCAAAGCGUGACCCCACACUUGAAUAUAUUCUUCAAUAUAUAGAAUGAAAGUAAAUUCUGACCUCAAACCAUAUAAAGUUAUCAAAGUAGUCUUUAUUUCUUUAUUAUUUACGCUGUCAUACUCCUGAAAAGUACUUUUGAAUAAGACCAGAGCGUGAUGCUGUGUCAUUUCUGGGCUUCAUGCAUUGUUACCUAUGUGGUCGCCUGGCCUGCAUGUCACACUGCUAACAGAGCCUAUUCACAGCUCCGCAGCCCUCCUGUUGUGUGAGAUUAGUGACAUACAUUAUGUUUAUGGCACACCAUAUAAACGCUUUAAUGUGGUCGUCAAUCAUCUGAAUCAUGGCACUGGAAUUAUUUAAACGACAUAAAGACGUCUUCAGGAUGUGUCCUGACGCCUGAGUCAAGUCUUUGUUUUGUUUUAGAGGAUAUGAUGUGAAUAAUUUAUUUUCUUAUUUUGUGCUGCACUGGAAUAAUAGUCCAGUGUUUCUUUUAUUCGUAGUGUUCAGUCAGUGUUCAGUUCUUUUUGGUGACAUCAAAUGCAAAAGAAAGUAAAUUCUUAUGCUCCAGAAUAUGUAGUGUCAAGUAGAAUUCAGGUUUUGACUGUUAAUAAAGUAGUAGCUUCUGUUUUUAAGGGUGUGCAACGUAGUCAAAUGUACUUAGGAAAGGUGCGUGGCUGCUCUACUCUUUUGAGUGGAACCAGCAUAGAUCACACACAGUGACCGUUUCUUCUGGCGUGACAUCACUGUCACACUCCUCCUCCUCCCCUGUUUCCAGUCACUGCUGCUUCGUAAAUGCAACCCGUCUUGAGGUGCUGUCUCACCUCAUCGGGGCCCAGGAUGUGUAACCUGGUGACCCAGCUGCACACACCUUUACAACCACAAACAAUGAGUCUAUGUGGACUCACUUCAGAGGGGGGGGAGGAGGAGGAGGGCUCGGUGACUGUCUGGGAAGUUGUAGGAAUAAAGGGCUGCUGUGAUUGUUGCCCCCUGAUUUCCUGGCACCCUUGAGGAUGCCGAGUGUCUAAGUGUGCCGCCUUUUUUUGUGUGUUUGUUGUCUGGCACAGAUGGCAGUGAAGCAGGGAUGUGAUAAACACCCUGGACUGGGGGAUCUCCAUCCAGGAGUGGGCUUAAUAUUUAAGUGGUGAAGUCAUUGGGAAAAAGCCCGCUUGAACCGUUGGAGGAACACACACACACACACACACACACACACACAAGUAUCUGCACGUGACUUAGAUUUUUCCCUUUAUUCACCGUGAUGCUCUCCUCAUGCCACGAUUCCAUUAUUUCAUUAUUAAUCCCAAUAAGUUAUGAAGUGAAAACCACAGAUAGGUGAGGGAGGGGGAAUAGUUUUUGUUAUUACAACUGAGGUCAGAGUACAGUUUCACCAAAGUGAUGUUAUGUUAGGUGUGAACUGUGGACCCUUCAAGGAGGGUUAGGCAAGACUGAGAGUUACCUAAGUUGUUUUGCUGAUGUUGUAACCAGACCUGGUCGAGCCGCCAUGCGAGCGCUUGCUGUCUGGAGUCUUCCGCUGGUCAGGGGAAGACUGUCAACUUUGACUCACUGUGUGUGGAAUUUUGGGCCAGCAAACACAAGAUUUAUAAAUUCAUGUCCGUCCACUGUGUUGACAAGGGCAGGAAAUGAUGGUAGUUGAAGUGGCAGCAGGAAGUCAGUGGAUGUGGGGGGUUUCCCGUGCUCAUCUCCGUCUGAUGGUUGAUCAGCCCCGACAAUCUUUUUGGUGAGCAGACCAACGCUGGCCACAGUUAUGUUGAAGCAAAGGUCGUAUGAGAAGAGAGUCAGGGAGUGUUUAGCCCUUCACAGACUCAAAUAUUUACUGUCAGAGCGACAUCUCUCAUGAAGCAGGGCAGGAUGCAUUUCUUGUCAUUUCAAAGUGACAGCAGUCAGAGCGAAUACCUACUUUGUGUUUGAGGAACUGUUGCUUUGUUUCAAAAUAUUUACACACCUAGUGCGGUAUGUGUUUGAUAUGGGAUGUGUUGCUGUUGAGAUAUUGUUUAGAUGAUGUUGAGAACACGUGCAGAUACACUGUCAUCAAAAAGCUCGACAAAUUAAAAUUCACCUUCACAAUUGCUUAUGAAAGAGUUGCUCACGGUAACUAUGUGGAUGCAAUAUCCCCCCCGUCAACUCAUCCAUCACUGUAUUUGGACUGGAAUUAAAGAGUAAGACUCACAACACACCAAAACGUUUUGGAAAUUUUACAUUUAUUCAUCAGCAUCUUGCUAAAAUAAAGACACAUUUUCAGGGAUUUACAGUGGCACAGAGGUUUAUCGUACAGCCCUUGUUACACUAAUAUAUUCACUUAAAUACAAAUUGUGUUGUUACAUUAUUCUUUUAGAAUGAAGUUAUGAUACAGUAGUAAACUUUUAUCCCUCUGUAUUAUCACACACACUUUGUGGCAACAUUCAUUUAGUGUUCUGUGUGUAUUAGUGUCUCAGAAUGGUCAAACAAGGACACACUAAGUGUCCAUGUUUGACCAUUCUACUUGAUUAUUCUUGUAUUUGUAAUAUACUAUUAAGUAAAUAUACGUAUUAAAAAAACGUUAGACCUAUGACAUUUUAAUUUGCAUAUUUUAGUAUAUAAUGAGCAGCAGAAGCUAAACAUUGAUAAUAUAAAAAGUUAAAAGGUUGUAGGUUUUCUGUUUCUAAAGUGGACACACACACACACACACCUACACACACUCACUCUCACACACACACACACACACACUGAAUAGUCCAUCAGAAUUAAUACGUCUUUCUCAGGUUAUUAUUUUUCUUUCGAGUCCAGAGGCCAGAUCUGGGACUCUGUAAGAGUUUGAAAUUUGAAUUUGAAAUAUGAUGCUGUAAAUGUUUGUUUGUCAUAUCUGGAAGCCGUUGACUGGCCAAUAAAACGUCACCCACUCACUUUAUGCUUAAGAAUACUUGCAGGUUAAUAAAAAAAGAGUGAAUAAUUAGACACAUAAACUACACUGGGAAUCAUUUUUAUCACCCAGCAAAAGUGACGCUUCUCGUGCUUUUCUCGCUUCACUUCUGGAAGUAAUUUAAUCUACUUGAGAACAACAGUUAGGCUAAGUUUGAAAGGCUCGACAUCAGCAGUGUUUUAUAGCUGCAAAACCUCAUUUUAAAGCCCUUUAUUCUUCGAACUGCUGUGUUCUGUCUAUUUGGAGGUUGGCAUUGAGGAGAAUCAGACAUUAUCGUCCCGGAUAAUCUCAGAUCUGGUUGCAAUUCUAUGUUUUAUUAACUGAAAAGCUUUUGAGAUAAUAGACAAGCAAUUCAAAAUCCAAAUAUUACCGUCAUUUUUGAAGAGUUCAGGACUUCACGCUGAAGGCAAAAUUCACUAUAAAUUCUAUUACUAGUAUUAUUAAUGAAACCAUUUUUAAGAUAAAGCGUUUUGUAUUUUUCUUCUAGUGCAAAUAUGGUUUUUAAUUUUGCUUUUAUGAACAGUAUCACAAGGAUAACAGCAUUUUCUUAUACAUGGGAAAUAUGUUAAAGGUAACCUGACGAUAGCUCUCGUCUGAAUCAGUCUCUACUAACACUCUCAUAACAUUGAGGUUAAAAUUCUUCUGAAGUUAUUUACCAGCAUCAUAGCAGUGGUCUGCUCUUGUGAAUUAGCAUUGAAUAAUUUCCCUGACUCUACCACUGAGGUACUCACUUGUAAAGUACUGUUGAAAUUCAAAGCUCCCGUCGUGUCUGAAAAUGAAGAAAAUAGUUCUCAACACAGUCCUCCAAAGCAGUUUCAAUGGUGAAGUCUGGAGACCUGGUCCUUCUUUACGAUGGCUUUUCAUCUAGUAGAUCUCAGCGUCUUUGUUCGUGGACUUGCCCGGGAUCAUGACUCACUAUUGCUCAUCGUGUAGGAGAUGAUUCGCGCUCCAUUUCUGAAAAAGGCACUCUUUGCUUUUGUGUGAUGAUUUUCUGCAUUUUCUGAACUUGUAUUUUCUUGUCCAUCUUGUCCAUCAACCAUCUAGAUGAGCUUGUGUAAAGAUGGACAAAGAGUGAGACGGUUUCCCUCCAAAAAACAAAAUAAAUGUUGGUUAUUAUUUAGAGGGUUUUUAAUUGCUUUCCAAUGGAAGCGUCUUUUAUUCGGCUUGUGUGUCAUUUCUUUACCUGCUCUGAGAGUUAAUCAUUCAUAAGGCACUUCCUCAUUGUUAACUCACUAAACACAACCAGUUUUUUCUUAACACCCGUGUCUUUUGUGCGUCGGAAGUCUUCAGGGAGAGAAACUUAUCAGCUGUAAACUAAACCGUGUGUGACACCAGUACCCACGCAGAGCGGCGGCUUUGAUGAAGUGUGUGCGACCUGAACAAAAGGUGUGCGGCGGGAUCGACUGUGUCACUGAGUGAAUUAAGCCAGGAGAAGUGAAUUUCUUUUGUGUUUAUUUGUUUGGAGUUUGAAUCACUCGCUCCAUCGGCGGGAUGGGCCACUGAUCCACUGUUCUAAGUCU